GACGUAGGGCGCGAGCGUUGUCCGGAUUUAUUGGGCGUAAAGAGCUCGUAGGCGGCUUGUCGCGUCGACUGUGAAAACCCACGGCUUAACUGUGGGCUUGCAGUCGAUACGGGCAGGCUAGAGUUCGGUAGGGGAGACUGGAAUUCCUGGUGUAGCGGUGAAAUGCGCAGAUAUCAGGAGGAACACCCGUGGCGAAGGCGGCUCUCUGGGACGGUACUGACGCUGAGACGCGAAAGUGUGGGGAGCGAACAGG
rnacentral:rRNA from 1 species